GUUGGAUUUUGACCUGCAGCUCCAGAAAGGGAGGCAGGAAACGGCUGCUAUAUAAAUGCAAAGCGAUGUUGUUGAAUACUGCAGCUAAAUUUAAAAAUAAAACUCGCUCCCAAUCUCGCUGGGAUUAAAACAGGGGCACACAGAAGUUCAAUCGCCCUUUGUAAACCCUGUGACAGGGAGCUAUUCCUUGCAUUCCCCAGUAAAUUACUCACUUGAAUUAAUUCCAGGAAGCUGAAGAUUCCCGUUAAAGCGGCUGGGCCAGGAACACACACGGAGAAAUCCCUCGCCAGAUUUCCCCCUCAAUUAGCCCAGGAUCGCGCUCACUCCCCUCGGCAAAAGUCGAACUGAGGACUGAUUUCAGACUGCAGGCUGGCAGAGAGAAAUGGCAGAACAACUGGGACGGAACCAAACUCCGCCUGAAAACCGAGCCUCCCCGAAAGGGGAAAAACACUAGGACAACGCCUGCGAACACACAGAGAGAGCUGGAAGAGAUUUAAAGCAACACUCCACUCCCGGCCUUGAAAGGAAGGCGUCCUGCAGCAACUUUUUAAGACCGUGAAGCCAAAGUACAAACCUUCCUGCUUCCCUUACCUGCUGCCGAAAUCUCACACCACAGCCAACAAUCUUCCAUUCCUCAUCCCGGGCUGAGUCCCAGCUAAUGUUCAGUGGGGGAUGAGUGGGUGAACUACAUCUCGUUCAGUGGACUGAGGACUCACGGAGAACUCAACAACAGCCCAGUGUCGGAGCUCAUUUAUAUCCACAGUAAGAUGCUGAUUGCUGAUGAUCGGCAAGUCAUCAUCGGUUCAGCAAACAUCAACGACUGAAGUUUGUUGGGGAAACGGGACAGUGAGAUGGCUGUUCUUGUGGAAGACGCUGAGAUGGAGGCAUCUGUAAUGGAUGGUGAAGAAUACCAAGCUGGAAGGUUCGCCCGUCACCUUCGACUCCAGUGUUUCAAAGUACAUCUUAGCCUGAGCGAUGCCCAGAUCGCUGAGGUUGAAGAUCCUGUCAGUGUCCGAUGUUUCCAGGAGAUCUGGAAUGCAACAGCUACCACCAAUGCAGCCAUUUAUGACCAGUAGGAGAAUCGACGUUUCGGGCUUAAGCCCUUCUUCAGGAUGCUGCAUGACCUACUGCGCUUUUCCAGCAACACAUUUUCAGCUCUGAUCUCCAGCAUCUGCAGUCCUCACUUUCUCCUCACUUCUCAGUAACAAUCCAACGUUCUAACGUCACAAACAGCUGACUAUGAGCUGUUUCGAUUUGAGAUACUGUUUCAGGUGAUUACAUGACUUAGCAGAACCCAACCAAUAAACAUGUAUUCAUGCAGCAACAUUGUCUAGCUUCAGAA